GGUUUGGGUGUUUAAUAUUUUUUUGUUUCGUGUUUGCCAUGAAAGGAAAACAAAACAUGGAGGAGGUCCCAUACAACC
rnacentral:pre_miRNA from 1 species